UACGGAGGGGGCUAGCGUUGUUCGGAAUUACUGGGCGUAAAGCGCGCGUAGGCGGCUUUGUAAGUCAGAGGUGAAAGCCUGGAGCUCAACUCCAGAACUGCCUUUGAAACUACAUCGCUAGAAUCAUGGAGAGGUUAGUGGAAUUCCGAGUGUAGAGGUGAAAUUCGUAGAUAUUCGGAAGAACACCAGUGGCGAAGGCGACUAACUGGACAUGUAUUGACGCUGAGGUGCGAAAGCGUGGGGAGCAAACGGG
rnacentral:rRNA from 1 species